UACGUAGGGUGCGAGCGUUAAUCGGAAUUACUGGGCGUAAAGCGUGCGCAGGCGGUUCGUUGUGUCGGUGGUGAAAGCCCCGGGCUUAACCUGGGAAUGGCCAUGGAAACUGGCGAACUGGAGUGUGGCAGAGGGGGUGGAAUUCCACGUGUAGCAGUGAAAUGCGUAGAGAUGUGGAGGAACACCGAUGGCGAAGGCAGCCCCUGGGCUGA
rnacentral:rRNA from 1 species